rnacentral:rRNA from 1 species
CUCCUGGAAACGGGUGGUAAUGCCGGAUGCUCCGCCCCCUCGCAUGGGGGGUCGGGAAGGCUUUUGCGGAAUGGGAUGGGGUCGCGUCCUAUCAGCUUGUUGGCGGGGCGACGGCCCACCAAGGCUUCGACGGGUAGCCGGCCUGAGAGGGCGACCGGCCACAUUGGGACUGAGAUACGGCCCAGACUCCUACGGGAGGCAGCAGUGGGGAAUAUUGCACAAUGGGGGGAACCCUGAUGCAGCGACGCCGCGUGCGGGAUGGAGGCCUUCGGGUCGUGAACCGCUUUUGAUUGGGAGCAAGCGUGAGUGAGUGUACCUUUCGAAUAAGCACCGGCUAACUACGUGCCAGCAGCCGCGGUAAUACGUAGGGUGCAAGCGUUGUCCGGAAUCAUUGGGCGUAAAGGGCUCGUAGGCGGCUCGUCGCGUCCGGUGUGAAAGCCCAUCGCUUAACGGUGGGUCUGCGCCGGGUACGGGCGGGCUUGAGUGCGGCAGGGGAGGCUGGAAUUCCCGGUGUAACGGUGGAAUGUGUAGAUAUCGGGAAGAACACC